rnacentral:rRNA from 1 species
AUACGGAGGGUGCAAGCGUUAUCCGGAAUCAUUGGGUUUAAAGGGUCCGUAGGCGGACUAUUAAGUCAGAGGUGAAAUCCCACAGCUCAACUGUGGAACUGCCUUUGAUACUGGUAGUCUUGAGUUAUAUGGAAGUAGAUAGAAUGUGUAGUGUAGCGGUGAAAUGCAUAGAUAUUACACAGAAUACCGAUUGCGAAGGCAGUCUACUACGUAUAUACUGACGCUAAGGGACGAAAGCGUGGGGAGCGAACAGGAUUAGAAACCCUGGUAGUCC